rnacentral:rRNA from 1 species
GAUGAACGCUGGCGGCGUGCCUAAUACAUGCAAGUCGAGCGAAUGGAUUAAGAGCUUGCUCUUAUGAAGUUAGCGGCGGACGGGUGAGUAACACGUGGGUAACCUGCCCAUAAGACUAGGAUAACUCCGGGAAACCGGGGCUAAUACCGGAUAACAUUUUGAACCGCAUGGUCCGAAAUUGAAAGGCGGCUUCGGCUGUCACUUAUGGAUGGACCCGCGUCGCAUUAGCUAGUUGGUGAGGUAACGGCUCACCAAGGCAACGAUGCGGAGCCGAACUGAGAGGGUGAUCGGCCACACUGGGACUGAGACACGGCCCAGACUCCUACGGGAGGCAGCAGUAGGGAAUCUUCCGCAAUGGACGAAAGUCUGACGGAGCAACGCCGCGUGAGUGAUGAAGGCUUUCGGGUCGUAAAACUCUGUUGUUAGGGAAGAACAAGUGCUAGUUGAAUAAGCUGGCACCUUGACGGUACCUAACCAGAAAGCCACGGCUAACUACGUGCCAGCCGCCGCAGUAA